GCACAAGCAGUGGAGUAUGUGGUUUAAUUCGAAGCAACGCGAAGAACCUUACCAGGUCUUGACAUCCGAUGCAUAGCACAGAGAUGUGUGAAAUCCUUCGGGACAUCGAGACAGGUGGUGCAUGGUUGUCGUCAGCUCGUGUCGUGAGAUGUUGGGUUAAGUCCCGCAACGAGCGCAACCCUUAUUGCCAGUUACUACGUUAAGAGGACUCUGGCGAGACUGCCGUUGACAAAA
rnacentral:rRNA from 1 species